GAUGAACGCUGGCGGCGUGCCUAAUACAUGCAAGUCGAGCGAACAGACGAGGAGCUUGCUCCUCUGACGUUAGCGGCGGACGGGUGAGUAACACGUGGAUAACCUACCUAUAAGACUGGGAUAACUUCGGGAAACCGGAGCUAAUACCGGAUAAUAUAUUGAACCGCAUGGUUCAAUAUUGAAAGACGGUUUUGCUGUCACUUAUAGAUGGAUCCGCGCCGCAUUAGCUAGUUGGUAAGGUAACGGCUUACCAAGGCAACGAUGCGUAGCCGACCUGAGGGGGUGAUCGGCCACACUGGAACGGAGACACGGUCCAGACUCCUACGGGAGGCAGCAGUAGGGAAUCUUCCGCAAUGGGCGAAAGCCUGACGGAGCAACGCCGCGUGAGUGAUGAAGGUCUUCGGAUCGUAAAACUCUGUUAUUAGGGAAGAACAAAUGUGUAAGUAACUAUGCACGUCUUGACGGUACCUAAUCAGAAAGCCACGGCUAACUACGUG
rnacentral:rRNA from 1 species